ensembl:lncRNA
GAGGAACAUGAGGUGAUUUUCCCAGUUUAGCUAGCCCAUGGGAACAUGGCUGUAGUUAAGGACAGCCGUACUGUCCCUGGCAAGAUAAAUGCUACAAGUUUUCUCUCUCUCCAGCUCUGAACUGGACCCCAUCAACUCAGCCCAACAGGAAGCCACAGGGUGUGGCUACAGAGCAAACUAGGGAGGAGGUCUGGAGAGGACGCUGGUGGCAUGCAUCCUCUCUUACCAGCGAUCACAUGGUGACUCCAAAGAGAAGAGAGGAGGAGGAAGAGAGUGAUUUCCUGCUUAUAUAUUCUGAGUCUGCCUGCUGUGUCACUUUCUGACUGGAUCACAAGACUUUGCUUUACUACAUUUCCCAGAAUCCUCCUCGACUCAAGUCCAUCUUGCUUCCCUAUUGGCCAACAGUGCUUUAUUCAACAACCAAUAAGAUAAACAUACACAGAUGGACUUCCUGCAUCAUCUCCUCUUAUCUGUCUAAAUAAAAAGGUUUUACCAUUAACAUAGUAAAAUAUAUAGC